GGAUUAGAUACCCUGGUAGUCCACGCCCUAAACGAUGUAUACCGGUUGUUGCUGUGCUAGUCACGGCAGUAAUCCACCUAACGGAUUAAGUAUACCGCCUGGGGAGUACGGUCGCAAGAUUAAAACUCAAAGGAAUAGACGGGGACCCGCACAAGCGGUGGAGCAUGUGGUUUAAUUCGAAGAUACGCGAAGAACCUUACCCGGACUUGAUAUCUAACAAAUCAUCCAGAGAUGGAAGAGUGUCUGCUUGCAGAAAUGUUAAGACAGGUGCUGCACGGCUGUCGCCAGCUCGUGUCGUGAGAUGUUGGGUUAAGUCCCGCAACGAGCGCAACCCACGUCAUUAGUUGCUAACGGUUCGGCCGAGCACUCUAAUGAGACUGCCUUCGUAAGGAGGAGGAAGGUGUGGACGACGUCAAGUCAUCAUGGCCCUUAUGUCCGGGGCGACACACGUGCUACAAUGGCAUAUACAAUAAGACGCAAUAUCGCAAGAUGGAGCAAAUCUAAAAAAUAUGUCCCAGUUCGGAUUGGAGUCUGCAACUCGACUCCAUGAAGCCGGAAUCGCUAGUAAUCGUAGAUCAGCCAUGCUACGGUGAAUACGUUCCCGGGUCUUGUACUCACCGCCCGUCACACCAUGGGAGUUGAUUUCACUCGAAGCGGGAAUGCGAAAUUCGCUACCCUCCACAGUGGGAUCAGUGACUGGGGUGAAGA
rnacentral:rRNA from 1 species